UAUCUUUCUUAUGCCAAAAUAAUACAACAUGUGUUAACAAGGAUUAUGGGAGUGUUGUCAUGGAAACACUACAGAAUGUCAUUCAGUUGAUGGAGAUGGGAGAGACCUUGAUAAUGUUACCAGACAAGGUUCUACAGUCUUGCAUUGCUGGAAUAACAGCUAUUAUUAAGUCUCCAAGCACAACAGAACAUCAAACUCUGCUGAAGGCCCAAGUAUUGAACCUUGUGGAACACUUGGUUAAGGAAAUGUCAGGCUGUUCUACGAUUCAGUUCUCUCAAAAGAUAUCCAAACUGCUAGUUUCAUUGGGAAGUUGUCAAGUUUUAUGUAAUGAUGUUCUUUGUUGUCUUACCUCACAUGUCU